GCUACCUGGCUGGGCUGUUCCCUCACACAUAUGGUGGAGGAAGGGAAAGGAGAGGCACCAAGAUCUGGGCCCGCAGCGGGAAGAUGUUCCUUCCGUCCCGCCAGCCUGGUGCUCCUUCAGGGACGGUACUGACCGCAGCCUGAGCCUCAGAGCCUGCCCACGCAGCGCCUCAGAAGAGUGCAGGUGGCUGCCACACGUGGGGACUCGAGCCUACACGUGCGCAGCUGGCCAUGUGGGGCAGACUGGAGACAGACGGUGAUGGACAAAGACAGAUCCUACCUAGCUUGGAGACCGGGUGUCUGCCCUCCCCCCAGGACACACCUUGGCGAGUCUCCCGUCUACAGUACACGCGCACCCUCGACCACAUUGACUCGCUGGAACCCGGACUGAGGCUGCUGCAGGCUUGGGGCUUACAGAGAAGACGCGGGGGCAGGGCCUACAGGGAGGGGCUCUGGAGGCCGGAGGGGCUGGGGAUACCGGGGCCUUAGAGGAAAGCCUCCCGCUGCAGUACUUACCUGGCUCCAUCUUUAUGAGGCAAGCACAGGGGGUGACAAAAAGAACACCUGUGAGUCAACAGGUAAAGUUUAGUUUACUGUGAUCUAAAUCUCGGUCUCUCCUUCUUCUUCCCAAGGAUGUACACACGUAGACCCUUCAAGGGAUGAAAGGGAUAAAAUUGCUCCCUGUGGCUUAGCUUGGGACUCACUGUGGAGCUGGACACUGAGUAGGCGCCAGGCAAGGGUGUUGAGCGGAUGCACUGGCUUCAUUCAUAUGGGGACACAGAUUCGAGCCCUGAUCCGGGAAGAUCCCACAUGCCGCGGAGCAACUAAGCCGGUUCACCACAACUACUGAGCCUGUGCUCUAGAGCCCGGGAGCCACAACUACUGAGCCCAUGUGCCACCACUACUGAAGCCCGCGCACCUGAAGCCCAUGCUCCACGACAAGAGAAGACGCCGCAAUGAGAAGUCCACGCAUGGCAACAAAGAGUACCCCCUGCUCGCCACAACUAGAGAAAGCCCUCGCGCAGCAUUGAAGACCCAACGCAGCCAAAAAUAAAGAAAUUAAUUAAUUAAUUUAAAAAAAUGGGCAGAGAACCUGACAUUUUUCCAAAGAAGACAUACAGAUGGCCAGCAGGUACGUGAAAAGGUGCUCAACAUCAGUAAUCAUCAUGGAAAUGAAAACCAAAACCACAACGAGAUAUCACCUCACACCUGUUAGAAUGGCUAUCAUCCAAAAGACAAGAACUAAGUGUUGGCGAGGAUGUGGAGAAGAGGGAAUGUGAAUUGGUGCAGCCACUAUGGAAAACAGUAUGUUGGUUCCUCAAAAAAUUAAAAAUAGAACUGCCAUAUGAUCCAGUAAUUCCACUUCUGGGUAUUUAUCCAAAGAAAACAAAAACACUAAUUUGAAAAGAUAUACGCACCCCCACGUUCAUUGCAGCAUUAUUUACAAUAGUCAAGACACGAAAACAGCCUAAGUGUCCAUCAACAGAUGAAUGGAUAAAUAAAAUGAGUAUUAUAAACAAUGAAUAUUGUUUAGCCAUAUUGUUUGGCAACAUUGUUUCAGCCUUAAGAAUGAAAUCUUGCUGUUUGUGACAACAUGGGUGGACCUUGAGGGCAUUAUGUUGAGUGAAAUAAGUCAGACAGAGAAAGACAAGUAUCACAUAAUCUCACUUAUAUGUGGAACCUAAAAAAAUUCCCCAAACAAAAAACCCCUCAAGCACA